rnacentral:rRNA from 1 species
UACGUAGGUGACAAGCGUUGUCCGGAUUUACUGGGCGUAAAGAGCGCGCAGGCGGUCGUUCAAGUCGAGUGUGAAAGCCCCCGGCUCAACUGGGGAGGGUCAUCGAUACUGAUCGACUCGAAGGCAGGAGAGGGUAGUGGAAUUCCCGGUGUAGUGGUGAAAUGCGUAGAUAUCGGGAGAACACCAGUGGCGAAAGCGGGUAGCUGGGCCGACACUGACGCUGAUGCGCGAAAGCCAGGGGAGCGAACGGG